AAGAGUGCAUAUCGAAUAAUCAUUAAUGAUCAUUGAUCGCUUGCGCGAGUAUACGCGCAAGCGAAAGCGCAUCAGCGCUGUCAAAACAAUAAAAGAAUAUAUAUCGAGCGUUGACGCUCUCUUCUGUUACAACACCUGAACGAGUCAAGACGUAUUUCUACAUCCCGAAGAAUCCCCAUAUCCAAGGGUUAAUAAAAGUAUAAGUUGUCUCCGGGAAACUUGGUGGCCAGUGAGUGAUAAAUAUCCGGGAAGAUUUGGACCAAAUCACCGGAUAGAAAAUUCUUCAAAAAAAACCUCUAGGAAUUCCUCCCAGAGAUUAUCUAAGAAUUAUUUAAAGAACUAGCUGUCCCGGCAAACUUUGUCUUGCCAAUCUUGAGGUGGUUUGACAGUUUUUGAACUCAUUUAAGCACCGCACUCUAGAUUGGUUUAAUUGCGAUCGUUUCGAUUUUCUUUCCAGCUCAUGCAAAUUCAGUAGUUUCAUAAAUCUUCUUCACUUUGAUUUAACGAUCAACGAUCAAUUCUGACUAUACAUGUCAAUGGUUGCUCCUCCGUGAUUGAUCUGAACUGGUACCAGUUGCACUGUGAUCCAACUGAUUAAGGGGCUGGGACAUUCCACUUAUUCUCAAAGUGCAAUUUUAGCAGCUCAUGCAUAUUUGAUCAAUAACGGCGCCGGCCAAGUCCUUAUAGUCAGCUGGGAAGGGAAAGGAAUGUUAGAGUGUACUGGUUGUUGCUACUAGAGACCGAGAGCACUCUGCGUCCCACAACCCGCACGGACUGGGGUAUUUGUUAGACGGAAAGGAUGGGAGAUCUGGGAGUCACCGUUGGGUCGGUGAUGCGAUCCAUGGAUAGGGUUAUUUAUAGUGUUCGUGAUAGAUUGUGUGGUGAAUAAGGUGAAUAAGGUCAAGCGACACAGCACGCUUUGGUUGCAUAACUUAUAGGCGUUAUAAAUACACUGUGCUGUGAGUGGAAGUUGGAAGGGAGGGAAACGACUUUUUUCAAUUCGUUUCUGGUUCUAGCGAUGGCUAUGAACAUAUGAAUAUACAUGAGUUGUAUAUGUAGAGAAGAGAGAGUGAGAGAAAGUGGAUAGAAAGAUACAAAGUAGGAUGAAAAGGACGGGCCAGGGAUUGAACCCAUGACCUUCUGCAUACGAAUCAGAAGCGGUGGCCACUAGACCACCAAGCCCGUCCCAUAAAUCUUCUUCACUUUGAGUCGAUUUUCGUAACUUUUCCUGCAUAUAAAAACAGCCACCAUGAAUACGAAUCAAACCCUGCAUAAGUCAUCCUGAUCGGUUCAUCCGUUCGUGAGUUUUGUUGCCUCAAAGCGAAUUCAAACUCAUUUAUACACUCCCGUUCAAAAGUUUGGGGUCACCCCCUCAAAAACAUGCCAUAUUUUCAGGCCCAUAUCUCCGCCAAUUUGCAUCCGAUUUCAAAACCCUAGGUUUCAUUCAAAAGAUAAUAAGUCAAAGAAACUUUGAACAUGAUUUAAAAAAAACUUUUUCAAAAAAAUUUGUAUGUAAACUUAACCCAAAGUUGCCAAAUUUUCUAAAAAAUGAAUAUAAACUUACGGCAGUAUCGCUGGAAGUUGGGUCGACCAAAUUUUAAGAUGAGAGCGGUAAUAUGAUCCAUUUUCUAUUAGCUUUCAACUGCUUUUUACAGAACUUAGCUAAAAAAUCUAGAAAAAAAGUUAUUAAGUAAAUUAUUCCUUGAUGUCAUCGACCAAAAGUUUGGGGUCAUCCCUCAAAAUGCUGUAUCGGCCAAAAGUUUGGGGUCACUAUCGUAAAACAUGGAAAAGUGAUUUGUUGAUAUCUUUGUCAUCUUUCACUCAAUUUUAAUUCUGCUUGGCUUAUUUGAAACAAAAUGAAUGAUACUUACUGCAUAGACAUUGAACCACACAUAUUUGUUGAAACUUACAUACUAAAACUUAACGUAAAGUUGCCUCAUUUUUUGAAGCGUGGUAAAAUGUGCUAACUUUACAUAACAUUUUUAUAUACAAAAAUCGUUAAAUACGUUAAGUUGAAAACAUCAAACGUAAAUUUAGUUAAUUAUCUUUGAAAUGAGCCAAAAAUAAUUAAAAUUGAACUAUAGAUGACGAAGAUAUCACCAAAUCACUUUUCCAUGUUUUACGAUAGUGACCCCAAACUUUUGGCCGAUACAUCAUAUUGAGGGGUGACCCCAAACUUUUGGUCGAUGACAUCAAGGAUUAAUUUACUUAAUAACUUUUUUUCUAGAUUUUUUAGCUAAGUUCUGUUAAAAGCAGUUGAAAGCUAAUAGAAAAUGGGUCAUAUUACCGCUCUCAUCUUAAAAUUUGGUCGACCCAACUUCCAGCGACACUGCCGUAAGUUUAUAUUCAUUUUUUAGAAAAUUUGGCAACUUUGGGUUAAGGACAAGGUAUUUGGAGUACAUUGCUCAAAAUUUCUAGAGCACCGUUUUUUAGAACCGUUGAACGGAUUUGGAUUAAAAUGCAUCACGCUGUUGACAACCACUGAACAAAUAGCGUGAUGCAUUAUCAUACACAUCCGUUCAACGGUUCUAAAAAACGGUGCUCUAGAAAUUUUGAGCUAUGUACUCCAAAUACCUUGUCCUUAAAUCCUGUCAAUUGGGUUUUAAAAUUAAGAAAAAUUCAAUGAUUUUUUGUUUUUAAACAAAAGAACACCUUUUUCUGAGCCGCUGUGAUUUUUUUUCAGAUUUUUUGAACUUCAAAUUGGUUUUUAAAUAGGUUCCCGGGCUCCAAAAUUGAUGAGAAUUUGGAUUUCGGCUCAGUUUGGCAUGCAGAUUCAAAAUAUGGAAUUAUCUCAACACCACUAAAGAAGCCAAUUGUUUGUUGCAAGGGCUCGAUGUACACAUUUUUUACCCUCUAGCGGUGAUGGCCAACCUAGCCAUAGAGAUGAGCUUAGAGAAUACAUUUUAAGAGUUAGGUAAUUUUCCAUUUGACUCCAACACUACCAAGUAAAAAGUAGUGGAAACAGGCAAAGAUGACGAAGUACAUCGCCGCUCCCCUGAUACCGGUCGAAAACGACGGUGCAGUGCGAAUACAUGCCCCAGUCUUCCGCAUAGGUGCCCACUGUUGGUGUGCAGCAGCACUGCUGCGUUGGUAUACUCCCUGAAGCAAAUGAAGAUGAUAUUGCAUUUGCCAUGUGAUAUUUGUGGCAAAUCGAGUACGCCGCCAUCUCUACCACAUGCAUACACAUACAGACAAUAAAAUAGAGCCCGAAGCCAACACGUUAUUCGAUUUCAAUCUUUUCUGUUGAAAUGAAUUGAAGAUCAAAAUUAGAACAAAGUUGCAAAACCUUGUAUAAAAAUAUCCACUCGCGAAAUGCGCGUUGUAUUUUCCAUUUUUACUAGGUUUUCUGCCGAAAGUAUACCUAUAGGAUUGCCAAAAGAUCUCCGAAAAAGUCCUCUGCUGUGUUUCCAUCAGCGCUGAAAAUGUCAAUUCGACAUAUAGAAAUUCAACCACAUCCAUCCUAAGAAUAUGGUACAGUCGGAACCCGCUCGUUGAGCCACAACCUCCACCCAACCAACGAAUUCGAUUCGCUAGUUGGGUGAAGUGACAGCAGCACAAGGGGCGUGCGCAUUGUUUUUUUUUAAUCAUUUUUAGGUUGGAAGCAAAAAGCAAAAUUUUUCAAUUUGUUUCACAUUUAGAGCAAAACUGAUUCGUUUUGCAAGAUACAUAUAUGGCCAAUGCGAGAAAUAAUUAUUUUCACCCAUUUUUAGUCGGUGAAGUGAAAAUAUAGAUGUUUAUGAAACCACCCGGACCAAAAGCAAGCACAAAACGCUUUCAAUGAUCGACAAAAUAAAGAUUACCGAUGUUUUGCAUUUAUUUCGAAGUAAUUGUACAUAUUCUUUUUUUUAAAGAAAUAUGAAAUAGAAAUUCUUUUCGAUUAUCAUUAAGUUUAUGAAACCAAAAACUCAUUAGCUCGCCCCUCGGAAUUACAAAUUGGUUGUCAUUUUCAGUAUGACAUUGAAUUAUGACAUCCAGGUACUUUUUAGUUGGCUGACAGUUCAACUAACGGGGCCCCAACUAAAAAGUCACCCAACUAUUAAGCCCCCAACCAGCGAGUCAUGACUGUAUAUGAAAAACUUGUGCGGCUUGUACAAGAAAGUCAUGAAAAAACCGCUCUUUUUCGAAUAUUUAAGGAAAAUUUCACGGACUUCCUUAGAAAAAAUGCCAAUUGAUAUUCACCAUAAAUAUCAUUGGCAUUUUUCGAAGGUAAUCCAUGACAUUUAUCUUAAAUAUUCGACAAGAUGUGGUUUUUUGUGACUUUCUUUUAGAACUGGUCCAGCCUAUACCAUAUUCUCAGGUUGAGCUUCUAGAAUGAGCAGGAUGUGGUUGAAUUUAGAUAUGGCGAAAUGACAUUUUCAGCUCUGCAUAUGACACACACUUAAUACUUGGAGCUGUUACGCAGUAAACAGAAAAGCGCGCCUACCUGUAGAAAUUCAUAGAGGAAUCCGCGGACUUUGGAGGUAUUUCUAAGGAAGAAUCACUCGAGAAACCUAAAAAGUUUUAAGAAUAACUGGAGAAAUCCUUGCUGAAAUUUCAGUAUAGAAACACAGGAAGAAUUAGUGGAGGAAUUAAAGGACGAAACCCUACAGGAAUUCCUGAUGGAAUUCCGUAAGCAAUUUCUGUAGAAACUUCUAGUGGAGCUCUCGGAUAAAUCCCUUGAUUAAUUUUUGAAGCAAGCCCUAUUGCAAUCUCCGGAAAAACCCCUAGAGGAAUUUCUUGAGAAUGUCCUGGAAUAACUCCUUGAAUAUUUAUUCGAAAGAAUUCUUAAUGAAUCUCUGAAGAAAUCCAUGUUAGGAUUGCAAUUGAAAUUCCAGGGGAAAUCCACGCGGGAAAUGCCUGAAAAAGUUCUGAGGGAAUAUCAGUAGCAAUUCCUGAAGGAAGCUCAGGAGAAAGAGCUUCACAAAUAUGCACUAUCAUGAAUUUCAGAAGAUUUCACAAGGGAGCAUCCAUUAAGUACGUCACGCUAAAAUUGGGAACUUUUAAACCUCCCCCCUUCCCCUUCGUACGAGUUUUUACUAUACCUAAUACAUAGCUUGUCACACUUUCGCACCCUCCUCCUCCCCCCUAUGACCGUGACGUACUUAAUGGAUGAUCACCAAGUGAAAUUGCUUAACAAAAGAUAUUCCUGUAGAAAUACCACGAGGAAAUCCUGGAGAAAUCCCCAGAUCAAAUUUUUCGACCACCUAGAGAUCCCUAGAGAUUUUUUUUAUUUUUAAUCACUUAACCUAAUUUACAGGUCUAUUGUCUACUUGGGCACUACGUGAGCGAUUUCAAUUGACAGCUGUACCUACAGUAUUGAACAGAGCCUACAUAUAUUCUAUUAUACUUUAUCGAACUGGUUGCCUUUCUGCUGCUUUCACUUUUCUACUCUACAAGGUAGAAUGAUGAGCACAAGGAUGAUAGGUUGCCGUUGUUCCUUUCCAGUCCGAUUGGGGGUCCAUUAUGAGUAGCAAUUCACCGAUGUCCAGGUAUCCGGGUUCGUUUGAGCCAUGGGGCUCAGAAGAGGGUCAGUGUCAGCCGCUCUCGGUGAAGAGCAACAACUGACGAAAAAUUGCAAGUGCCGGGGCUGGGAAUCAAACCCAUGACCAUCCGCAUAUGAAGCGAACGUGUGACCAACUACGCCACGGGCCCCGGCAACCCCUAGAGAUAUCCCCGUAGAAAUUUCUGGAAGAGUUCCCGGUAUAAUUUCGGAAGGAAUCCUGAGAGGAAACCCCCUAGAUAUACAUUCCUGGAAGAAUCCACUAAGUAACUCCAGAAGGAAUUGUUUUUUUUUCAAAUUAAAAAAAAAAGUUUCAAUUGUUUGGUUUUAUACGAAAGAGCCACUGAUUUUUUUUUUCAGAUUUUUAGAACCUUAUUUUGGUACCGUAAAAAGGGGUAUCAUUGAUCGGCUUGACCCACCUCAUGAUAUGUUCAAACAUUUUUGAUUGAAUGAGUUUCUACUCACGAAUGGUAUUUCGUAAACUGCUAUCAUUUAGCUACUAAGACAUGGAAUUCAUGAAAAUUUAAUUUCCUAAUCAUUGAAAUAAAUCAAUGCUGGCGUUCUAUUCGAGUAGAUCCUAUCAAUAUAGGAAUCAUAGCAAACAUAUGGCCUAUUCAAAUCUAACGCCAGAGUGUUUCCUGAACUGCCGUGAAUCGCAUAUCUGUCCCAUUUGCAUAGGAAAUCCAGCAAAGAUGGGACUCACGGCAGUGAACUGUGCUUCAUAACGCAAUGAGAUACAUUGUCAAAAAUUCAUGCAUACCUAGGUUAGAAAUCACUGUACAACUUCAACAUGAUACCCUAGAAUUAGAUUUAAUAAACGAAACUUUUAUGAAAGUGAAGUUUUUCAAUAAAAUAUACGAUUUAUUGAAAAUAGGCGCUCAAUUUCUUAAGCCAUUGCCUACCUGUAGGCGUUAUUCGCGGUUUAAAAGGAUUUUAAUCCUAAAAUAAGCCAAAAAGUACAUAACUUAUAAGAAUUUUACCAACAUAUUUGAAAUCAGAGGCCCCAAAUUUAGUAAGUAAGGGUACUUUCAAUACAAAAGAACAUUGAUCACUGACAUAAUCAAUGAUACCCCAAAUCAACAAAAUCAAAAAUUAAAUUGCCUAUUUUAACAUAUGUAUUUUAAAGUUUCACAAUAUUUUUUUUGAGAAGCUUAACACACUCAAAAAUAUAAAACGUAGAACGUUUGCUUUGACAAGAAAGUUAUUCAAGUUCGAAAAUUUUAAUCAAAGUUACCCCGGAUUACGGUACCUAAGUUUCAAAAAGAUUUUUGGAAAUCACCUUUUGACAGCUGGGCAACUACUUGACAGCUCUGCCCAGUUCCAGUACAAAAUGCGACGAGGGGUAAUUCGACAAAUCGCUCCCAUACAAACUUCGAAUUGAUUUUUGAAUAGGCUCCCGGGCACCAAAAUUCAUAAAAAUUUUGAUUUUGGCUCAGUUUGGCAUGCAGAUUCAUAAAAUGGAAUUAUCGCAAUACUGCUAGAAAAGCCAAUUCCUAAAACUGAAAUUGACCGCCAUUCAAUAUUGGCUGAAAAACAGGCUCUGAGGCCGAUACUUAGCAGACCUGAUAUGAAGUCUAGUCUGGUAUGAAAUUAACUGAAUUAUAACGAAAAACUGUCCAAAAUAGUCUCCUGCCCUAAUGGGGCACCCUUUCAGCGCUUUCAGCAGUCAGUCAUAUAUAAACUAAUUAUCAACUACCCAUUGAAUGAUUAAAUCAAGCUCGAACACCUGCCCAGGCCGACACACCUAGAAGUGAGAUCAGGUCGGCUCAGAAGUCUAUCCGUAUAUCAGCUAAAAGGAAAGUUACCGGUACAAAUACACUCACACAUCUACUCGCUGCUUUGCGCACGUACACAACUUUCGAAGUAACUGUAUCGAACGAAAAAUUGUGUACCGAGGGUCGGCUCGCAUGAUGAACCGGAAUCCAACGCACACAUACGUGGAUGUAACGAACAGAAAAAGAGCCUAAUAAGAAGCUCCAAGUCCGUGACCGGCGACCUGCUUCAGUGUCGUCCCCUCGCCAUGGACAAAUACUCCUCCGGACGACGAUUCCCCUCGAUCGUAGAUUCCUCGAGAGGGGGCAAUGCGGUCAUUUGAUAUGUAAAUCAAUAAAGCAACUUGAUAGCAAAUAUCACCGAGGUAAUUGCACCACAGCAAGCACUGCAUUUUUUAUCAAUCAAAUUUUCCACCGUCUGUGCUAGCAAGGAGUGUGACAAGCUCAUUAUCGUCAGUAGGCGUUGCCUGAUCCAAAUCACACGAACCGGACAACAAUAAAUGCCGUGUUUUUUCGUCCCAGUAGGCUACUCCGGCGGGCCACGGCUGAUGAUUUCAUCCUUCACACCACUGCCGGGUGCGAUUCAGCCCACAUAUGCAGCAGGCGGCGCACUAAGGGGUGCUUUGGCCAAUCUAACUGGCCAAAAAACAUUUUUCGAAGUCGCUCGUAUUGCGAAAAGUUGACAUGAAUAUAUUCGUUGUGUUCGUAAAUUGAACAAUUUUAGGCUGAGGUUUGUUUCAGAGCAUAGUUUUCUAACUACCGAGACAAUUACAUGAAAAACCAAUUCAUGAGUGUAAUUUUCGAUAGUUAUUUUACAUUUGUACCGAAUUUCUAUUGAUAAUAUGGAGGUCAUGCGAAUUGCAUCCAAACGUCAUUUGUUUCCAUGCUAAUUGCUCAAUUUUGGCCAGAUAGGCUUGCCAAACGUCCCUUAGUGCGACGGAAAAAAAACUCAUCUUGUGAGCAAAUUAUCGAUUUUCUCCGCUCCCUCGAAUAAGGCCACUUUGAUACGAUGGAAAUGACCUUCAAAACGAGCAGUUGGUUAUCUAUCACCGCCAUGAAACGGCAACCGUAAUCAGCGGUGAUGACACUAGCCAUUUUCGCCGGUGAAGCCAAAUUUUAUUCUAGAACGCCCCAUUUCAUCAGAGGCGAGCUAUCAAACCACCGCCACCCAGUCGUCACUGGAAUCCGGUUGAACUUUUUUUUUCACCACUCAUCAUUUUCACCCGGAGCAUAAGAAAAAUUCCACUUACCUCAAUAACGACACGGCCCAGCGGGGCGUUAUCGG